rnacentral:rRNA from 1 species
GUCUACGGCCAUACCACCCUGAACACGCCCGAUCUCGUCUGAUCUCGGAAGCUAAGCAGGGUCGGGCCUGGUUAGUACUUGGAUGGGAGAAGUUAGACAGCGGCUUCAAGGGGUCAUCCUGGUUGAGCACA